UACGUAGGGCGCAAGCGUUGUCCGGAAUUAUUGGGCGUAAAGAGCUCGUAGGCGGUUUGUCGCGUCUGUCGUGAAAGCCCACGGCUUAACUGUGGGUCUGCGGUGGAUACGGGCAGACUAGAGGCAGGUAGGGGAGAAUGGAAUUCCCGGUGUAGCGGUGAAAUGCGCAGAUAUCAGGAAGAACACCCGUGGCUAAGGCGGCUCUCUAGUACGGUACUGACGCUGAGACGCGAAAGCGUGGGGAGCGAACAGG
rnacentral:rRNA from 1 species